ensembl:rRNA 5S_rRNA 5S ribosomal RNA
GCUUACGGCCAUACCAACCUGAACACGUCCGAUCUCGGAAAGCUAAGCAGGGUCGGGCCUGGUUAGUACUUGGAUGGUAGACAGCCUGGGAAUACCAGGUGCUGUAAGCU